CAUGCAAGUCGAACGGUAACAGGGAGCUUGCUCCGCUGACGAGUGGCGAACGGGUGAGUAAUACAUCGGAAUGUACCCAGUCAUGGGGGAUAACGCUUCGAAAGGAGUGCUAAUACCGCAUACGCCCUGAGGGGGAAAGUGGGGGACGCGCAAGCGCCUCACGUGAUUGGAGCAGCCGAUGGCUGAUUAGCUAGUUGGUAGGGUAAAGGCCUACCAAGGCAACGAUCAGUAGCGGGUCUUAGAGGACGAUCCGCCACACUGGAACUGAGACACGGUCCAGACUCCUACGGGAGGCAGCAGUGGGGAAUCUUGGACAAUGGGCGAAAGCCUGAUCCAGCAAUGCCGCGUGCGUGAAGAAGGCCUUCGGGUUGUAAAGCGCUUUUGUCGGGGAGGAAAUCCUAACGGUUAAUACCUGUUGGGGAUGACAGUACCCGAAGAAUAAGCACCGGCUAACUACGUGCCAGCAGCCGCGGUAAUACGUAGGGUGCAAGCGUUAAUCGGAAUUACUGGGCGUAAAGCGUCCGCAGGUGGCUUGAUAAGAUAGACGUGAAAUCCCUGGGCUCAACCUAGGAAUUGCGUAUAUGACUGUCUCGCUAGAGUAUGGGAGAGGGGGGUGGAAUUCCGCGUGUAGCAGUGAAAUGCGUAGAGAUGCGGAGGAACACCGAUGGCGAAGGCAACCCCCUGGCCUAAUACUGACACUCAUGGACGAAAAGCGUGGGGGAGCAAAACAGGAUUAGAUACCCUGGUAGUCCACGCCCUAAACGAUGUCUUACUAGUUGUUGGGGCUUUUCGGAGCUUUAUAAACGCAGCUAACGCGUGAAGUAGACCGCCUGGGGAGUACGGUCGCAAGACUAAAACUCA
rnacentral:rRNA from 1 species